UACGAAGGGGGCUAGCGUUGUUCGGAAUUACUGGGCGUAAAGCGCGCGCAGGCGGUCUUCCAAGUCAGUGGUGAAAGCCUGGAGCUCAACUCCAGAACUGCCAUUGAAACUGUUAGACUUGAGUACGAGAGAGGUGAGUGGAAUUCCCAGUGUAGAGGUGAAAAUUCGUAGAUAUUGGGAAGAACACCAGUGGCGAAGGCGGCUCACUGGCUCGUAACUGACGCUCAGGCGCGACAGCGUGGGGAUCGAAAACAGG
rnacentral:rRNA from 1 species